GGGAAGGUAGCUCAGUGGUAGAGUGUUUGCUUUGCAUGCAUGAGGCCCUGGGUUUGAUUCCUCAGCACCCCA
rfam:Dipodomys ordii contig_23497, whole genome shotgun sequence.